AUGUUGGUAACCGUGCACAAUCUGCAGCGUUCUGUUGCUGUGAAUGUUCACAAACUACAUCAUAUAGCCGAAUUCUUUGCUUCGUGUUUGGGUCUCCAGCAUCUUGAUGUUGGCGUGGCGUUAGAAGAAACUGAAGUUGUGCGUCGUUUGAACAGGAGAUAUCGAGGCCGUGACACUGCCACAGAUGUUCUCUCGUUCUCACACAAAGAGGUGAUGUAUCCUGGCAAUGUACCUCAAAGUUCAGGGCCAUGGGACACAAGUCUAGGCGAUCUUGUGCUGGCAUUGCCUUAUAUUCAGCAGCAGUGUAAAGAAGAGAAUACUACUCUUGAUGAACGAGUGCCAGUAAGAUACUUCUUUGUCAUGGUUUAUGUCAUCUGCUGGGUUACACACAUACUACUAGACACAACUGGCAGCUGAUGGUGAAAAGGGAAAGUUCAUUACUCCAAUGCUACAACAAUGCAUUUGGAACUUGCCUUCGAACUUUAACAGUAUGUGAAGAAUACUAACAGUUAAGAUAUGGCUUGGACACCGCUAUAGCAGAGGGCAGUCAUAUGUGAAUAUCUGAUUGCUGUUACUGUUCCGAGUUGGCUGUUGCAGAUGAAGAAGCAAUUCAUUGCUUGAGCUUGUCAAAAUUGGGUGCUGUGGCAUUUGUAUUAUAUGUCGUAGCUUGUGUAAUUACCUGUACGUCAUGUAAUGAAAGAGCAGCAGCUAACAACAGAA